GACGAACGCUGGCGGCGUGCCUAAUACAUGCAAGUCGAACGAACCGCGACUAGGUGCUUGCACUUGGUCAAGGUGAGUGGCGAACGGGUGAGUAACACGUGGGUAACCUACCUCAUAGUGGGGGAUAACAGUCGGAAACGACUGCUAAUACCGCAUAGGACAUAGGAUCACAUGAUCCAGUGAGGAAAGGUGGCGCAAGCUAUCGCUAAGAGAUGGACCCGCGGUGCAUUAGCUAGUUGGUAGGGUAAAGGCCUACCAAGGCGAUGAUGCAUAGCCGACCUGAGAGGGUGAUCGGCCACAUUGGGACUGAGACACGGCCCAAACUCCUACGGGAGGCAGCAGUAGGGAAUCUUCCGCAAUGGACGCAAGUCUGACGGAGCAACGCCGCGUGAGUGAAGAAGGUCUUCGGAUCGUAAAGCUCUGUUGUUAGGGAAGAACAGCGCAUAGAGUAACUGUUAUGCGUGUGACGGUAUCUAAACAGAAAGCCACGGCUAACUACGUG
rnacentral:rRNA from 1 species